GCCCAGGUGGCUCAGGGGUAGAGCACGUCCUUGGUAAGGACGGGGUCACGGGUUCAAUUCCCGUUCUGGGCUCCA
rnacentral:tRNA from 1 species